GUAAGAGUUCAUAUUUGGGCCUGGCCAGUACUUACAUGGGAGACCAACUAGGAAAGCUGGGUGACUACU
rnacentral:rRNA from 1 species